UGAUUCCUUGGUGCCACUGGACCUUUAA
rnacentral:piRNA from 1 species